UACAGAGGUCUCGAGCGUUGUUCGGAUUCAUUGGGCGUAAAGGGUGCGUAGGCGGCGAGGUAAGUCGGAUGUGAAAUCCCGGGGCUCAACCCCGGAACUGCAUUCGAUACUGCCUUGCUCGAGUACUGGAGAGGAGACUGGAAUUUACGGUGUAGCAGUGAAAUGCGUAGAUAUCGUAAGGAAGACCAGUGGCGAAGGCGGGUCUCUGGACAGUUCCUGACACUGAGACACGAAGGCCAGGGGAGCAAACGGG
rnacentral:rRNA from 1 species